rnacentral:rRNA from 1 species
UAUUGCACAAUGGGCGCAAGCCUGAUGCAGCCAUGCCGCGUGUGUGAAGAAGGCCUUCGGGUUGUAAAGCACUUUCAGCGGGGAGGAAGGCGAUGAGGUUAAUAACCUCAUCGAUUGACGUUACCCGCAGAAGAAGCACCGGCUAACUCCGUGCCAGCAGCCGCGGUAAUACGGAGGGUGCAAGCGUUAAUCGGAAUUACUGGG